UAGUCAAUGUUACAAACCUGAAAUAUCAGUUGGAACUUGUUGAACACUGCUAUACCCAGGCUCAACAAAAGAUUAAGAUCAGUGUCAUGCACGUUAUUUAAAACCAGAAAUCAUUCAGAUCAAUGCACGUGGCCACACCGCAGUCUCUGAUUAUGGGCUGUGCAAAAUCUUCAAUCGCCACACAAAGGACAGCCCCAGUAAAAAUCAGCCAUUGGUGGCCUUAGCAUCCAAUAAGCAUUCUCCAGGUAUAAGAAUCAACAAUGAGAUGGUAACAGAUGCAAAGCAAUUAGCUUGGUGCACAGGGGAGGAAUGGUGAAACAAGGUUCGGUAGCGAUAGUGUUAACUCAGGAAAUAUUUUUAUAAUUGUAAUACUGAUAACUUCAUAAGUUUUAUUUAAAAUUAUUUUUAAAAUUAUGUUUUAAUUCUAAACUCCAUCACAGUGGCAAAGAGAAUCCCAACAAGAUCAGCUGUGUUUGAACACUAUACAAGCAUUACAAAUGGAAAACAUU